GAUCAUGGCUCAGGACGAACGCUGGCGGCGUGCCUAAUACAUGCAAGUAGAACGCACAGUUUAUACCGUAGCUUGCUACACCAUAGACUGUGAGUUGCGAACGGGUGAGUAACGCGUAGGUAACCUGCCUGGUAGCGGGGGAUAACUAUUGGAAACGAUAGCUAAUACCGCAUAAUAUUGAUUAUUGCAUGAUAAUUUGAUUAAAAGGUGCAACUGCACCACUACCAGAUGG
rnacentral:rRNA from 1 species